UUAUUAUACAUUUAUGAUAAAUAAAUUUUAAGAUUUUUUGGGUUUUCUUUUUUUCAAUUUCGUUAAAUUUGGUCGGUAGACUUUGUCAAACAUAUGUAAAUAAAAAGACUCAUUUUUAGUAAUAUAGUGGACCAAAACUGAUCAAAAGUAUAUUUGAGAGGCAAUUUGAACCUAUCUUCAAAUAUAAGAGAUUUUUUUUAUUUCAUUCCACAUUCUAUGUAGUUUUUUAACCAAAUUUUGUCAAAGUGACUUUUGUGAAAGAUGGGGCAAAGUUCAAUGACUUUUAUGUAAUAAAAUAAAGAAUAAUGAUUUUUGAGUAAUGAACACUAAGUUGAAUGAC
rnacentral:lncRNA from 1 species